CCUACGGGAUGCAGCAGUGAGGAAUAUUGGUCAAUGGGCGGAAGCCUGAACCAGCCCAGUAGCGUGCAGGAUGACGGCCCUACGGGUUGUAAACUGCUUUUAUACGGGAAUAACGCGCCUUACGUGUAGGGCUUUGCAUGUACCGUAUGAAUAAGGACCGUCUAAUUCCGUGCCAGCAGCCGCGGUAAUACGGAAGUUCCGGGCGUUAUCCGGAUUUAUGGGGUUUAAAGGGAGCGUAGGCCGCAUGUCAAGCGUGCUGUGAAAUGUCCGGGCUCAACCCGGGCCUUGCAGCGCGAACUGGCGUGCGUGAGUCCGCGGAAAGCAGGCGGAAUUCGUCGUGUAGCGGGGAAAUGCUUAGAUAUGACGAAGAACCCCGAUUGCGAAGGCAGCUUGCUGCAGCGGAACUGACGCUGAUGCUCGAAAGCGCGGGUAUCGAACAGGAUUAGAUACCCGGGUAGUC
rnacentral:rRNA from 1 species